GUGAAUCAUCAAAUUUUUGAACGCAAAUUGCACUCCCUGGUAUUCCGGAGAGUAUGCCUGUUUGAGGGUCAGUUUAAAUAAAAAUCGGUGUGGUUGCUGCCUUUCGUGGUGACGCACCGGAUUUGGGUUGUCUUGCCAUCGGUUAAGCGACCUAAAAUCUUGCAUGAUCUUUUUCGAACGUAUUUAAAUGAUCUUACGUACGUUUGUGAUAUCGAAUUCUAGGUUUGGUAAUUCUC
rnacentral:misc_RNA from 1 species